rnacentral:rRNA from 1 species
GACGAACCAUGCAAACGUUAUUCGGAAUCACUGGGUUUAAAGGGUGCGUAGGUGGUCCGUUAAGUUCGUUGUGAAAGCCCUUGGCUCAACCAAGGAAUUGCUUCGAAUACUGGCGGACUUGAGGCUAGUAGAGGUCACUGGAACUGACGGUGGAGCGGUGAAAUGCGUAGAUAUCGUCAGGAACGCCGGUGGUGAAGACGGGUGACUGGGCUAGUUCUGACACUGAGGCACGAAAGCGUGGGGAGCGAACGGG